AGGGAUCAUUAACACAUCCAAACCAAAAACUAUCAAACCAACCUGUGAACUUAUUACUAUUUUAUUUUUACCCCAUGACACUUUUGACUAAUACAUUGAGGUGCGACGAGCCGAGCCGGAGCGAAGGUCCUCGUGACCCGAGCGAACCGCUCACGCUUUCCACUUUACAAGAUAAUACAAAUUAAGAACAACUCUUAGCAAUGGAUAUCUUGGUUCUC
rnacentral:misc_RNA from 1 species